rnacentral:rRNA from 1 species
GAAGGAACCUUMCCAGCUCUUGWCAUUCGGGGUAUGGUCAUUGGAGACGAUGACCUUCAGUUCGGCUGGCCCUAGAACAGGUGCUGCAUGGCUGUCGUCAGCUCGUGUCGUGAGAUGUUGGGUUAAGUCCCGCAACGAGCGCAACCCUCGCCCUUAGUUGCCAGCAUUUAGUUGGGCACUCUAAGGGGACUGCCGGUGAUAAGCCGAGAGGAAGGUGGGGAUGACGUCAAGUCCUCAUGGCCCUUACGGGCUGGGCUACACACGUGCUACAAUGGUGGUGACAGUGGGCAGCGAGACAGCGAUGUCGAG